CAAUCUCACGCUCUCGCCGUUUCAAUACCAAAACCGACCUCCAAUCCGGGUUGAUCUCAAAUGGCGGCGAAUACUUCAUGAGUAUCUCAAUCGGUACUCCUCCGUCGAAAGUCCUUGCCAUCGCUGACACGGGAAGUGACCUAACUUGGGUUCAAUGCAAGCCAUGUCAACAAUGUUACAAACAAAACAGUCCACUCUUCGACAAGAAGAUAUCUAAGGGAAAGGAAGGAGAAAAACCCUAACGAAAUUCCUACCAUUUUUGUUUUCAUUUGCAGUUGCGAAUUGGGAUCGGCUAAAGCAGCUCCAAUUGCACAACAAUGGCUUCUCGUAUCAUCAUCAAUCAUUCCUAAAAGGUUCUUAAACUUGGACGCACCAUGCGGCUUUGUAAGGUCUCAAAUGUCAAAUCUCUGAGAUUGGAAAAUGAAGCAACCAUUGAUUUCUGGAAAUGCUUCUCUUAUCGUGUUAAAAGGUAAACUUUGUGCUGAUGUGUAAUUCUCUGUUAGCGAAAACAUAUUUAUAGAUGUCAUAGUCUCUUGGCGUUUAGGUUAGAGAAUUUAAGAAAUUCGUGUUGAGAAAGUAUAGAAUAUCUUUACAAAUCUUUGAUUCAAUAAUAUAUAGAAUAUGCUUUAUAGAUAUUUCGUCAAAAUUAAGAACAAAUAGUUUGAUUUAUUAGACAUUUCCAAUUGAUGUUGUGUAUAUUGAAUGUAGACAUUAUAUUGUUCAAUUUUAUUUGGAAACUGAAUAGAUUUGUAGAAUAUAUUUAGCAUAUAAAUGGGAUACAAUGAGAUAAACAAAUCGUCAGAAAUUAAAGUAUAUUGUUAGGAUUCCAUGUUUAGUUGUUAUAAUCGUAUAAUUAAUGUUGUAAUUAUUGUUGUUUAUUUUUGUAGAAAAAAUCUUACCAAAAUAGAUUAUACAUAAUAAUAGUCAAAAUUUGUGGAAGAGAUUCCAUUGUUAGGAUUUGUUAGAUUAGGAAUGUAAUUAAGAGGAUAUUUAGUCGAAUUAGUUGAUUUUUUUUUUGGAAAGUCGCAUUUAAAAGAAUCCGAGAGUUUUGAUUGGCCA